UAAAACAUUGCUUCUCCAAAUUUUUAAGCUUUUUUUUUACUUGAUCACAAAACCUGCCGAGCAAAUCACACAAAGUAUGUGAAGUACUGAACUAAGCUGUGUGUACAGCCGAGCUGUCUUCCGGUUAAAUGAUUCGUGCCAAGCUUGGUUUGAGCUGUCAUCAAUGAAAAACCAUGUGGUAAACGAAAACAAUACCGCGACACCGUGAAUGCUAUUAUGCAUUUUCAAAGAGUUUUUUUUAUUGUGUUCAAGUGAAUAAAAUGUAGAGCGCUUACGUCGCUGUGCCUCGAUAUCCCGGUUAUGCUGUGUGAAGACCGGUUCGAUUAUUCGUGCCUAGCUUGGUUUGAGCUGUCAUCAAUGACAAUCCAUGUGUGAAUAAAUUGUAGAAUGCUUACGUCGCUGUGCUUCAGUACCCCGGUUCUGCUGUGUGAAGACCGGUUCCGCUAUUGCCUCGCGUUCCAUAUUCGGAUGUGCGAUCCUGACUCUCCCGCAUGCCGGUCCUGUGUCGAGGUAAUAUAAACAUUGUUCUCUUCCUAGAUUUGGGUAAAAUGUUUGAAUUUUUGGAAGACGAAUAUGCAAUGCUAAUAAUUUUAAAAGGUUUAUUGAAUGGUUAUAUUUAUAUCGUUAUUUCGCUAUUCCUUUUUUCUCGAUGUUGUUUGAAUCCGCCGCUACUCCUAAAAAUGUUGAAGUAUGAUUUUUUUAAGUGAAAUAUAUCACAAUUUCUUACAUCCCAGUGGUAUUUUCCCUUUUUUUCAAUGACUGCCUACCAAGGUAAGGUUUGCACUUUUAUUUUGAACAUUUUUUAUUGUAGCAAUACGGCCAGAAAAUUGUAAACAAAACACAUAAUUUAUUUUUCGCUUAUAGAAUUUAAUAGAUUUAUUAAACAUAUUUCUUUUGUUUCCCUAUUCAAUUCCAUAAAUCCACAAUUGCCUUGUACCUAUUUUCGGCAACCUUUAAAACGAAAAUAAAACUAUUUAUCGGAUUUUUGAAGUCUCAGCGUGCUGUGACUUAUUUUCAAAAUAAUUUUUUAAAACAUUGUUCUUUUCCUAGAUUUGGGUAAAAUGUCUGUAUAUUUGGAAGAAAAAUAUGCAAUGUUAAUAAUUGUAAACAGUUUAUUGUUUUAAUAAACUUCUUUAAACAAUUAUUUUUUAUUUAUUAAUUAAUUAAAACGGACACAUGCCGUAUUGUUGGGGGGUCUUUAAACAAUUAGUUAAAAAAUAAUUUUGUGUUCUCAUUUUCAAAUCAACUGCCAUCAAACUGUCAAAAAUGACAUCUCAGAAUCUGUCAAAGUUUGAGCCGUUCAAAAUCGCAUGUAUCUUGUAUCCGUUUUCGGCCUUGUUUAAAAUGAAAAAUAAAUUAUGUAUCGGAUUUUUAAAAUUUCAAUAAUUAUUCCAAAAUUUUUCAAAUAGUUUUAUUUUCCUAAAACAUUGCUUCUCCAAAUUUUUAAGCUUUUUUUUUACUUGAUCACAAAACCUGCCGAGCAAAUCACACAAAGUAUGUGAAGUACUGAACUAAGCUGUGUGUACAGCCGAGCUGUCUUCCGGUUAAAUGAUUCGUGCCAAGCUUGGUUUGAGCUGUCAUCAAUGAAAAACCAUGUGGUAAACGAAAACAAUACCGCGACACCGUGAAUGCUAUUAUGCAUUUUCAAAGAGUUUUUUUUAUUGUGUUCAAGUGAAUAAAAUGUAGAGCGCUUACGUCGCUGUGCCUCGAUAUCCCGGUUAUGCUGUGUGAAGACCGGUUCGAUUAUUCGUGCCUAGCUUGGUUUGAGCUGUCAUCAAUGACAAUCCAUGUGUGAAUAAAUUGUAGAAUGCUUACGUCGCUGUGCUUCAGUACCCCGGUUCUGCUGUGUGAAGACCGGUUCCGCUAUUGCCUCGCGUUCCAUAUUCGGAUGUGCGAUCCUGACUCUCCCGCAUGCCGGUCCUGUGUCGAGGUAAUAUAAACAUUGUUCUCUUCCUAGAUUUGGGUAAAAUGUUUGAAUUUUUGGAAGACGAAUAUGCAAUGCUAAUAAUUUUAAAAGGUUUAUUGAAUGGUUAUAUUUAUAUCGUUAUUUCGCUAUUCCUUUUUUCUCGAUGUUGUUUGAAUCCGCCGCUACUCCUAAAAAUGUUGAAGUAUGAUUUUUUUAAGUGAAAUAUAUCACAAUUUCUUACAUCCCAGUGGUAUUUUCCCUUUUUUUCAAUGACUGCCUACCAAGGUAAGGUUUGCACUUUUAUUUUGAACAUUUUUUAUUGUAGCAAUACGGCCAGAAAAUUGUAAACAAAACACAUAAUUUAUUUUUCGCUUAUAGAAUUUAAUAGAUUUAUUAAACAUAUUUCUUUUGUUUCCCUAUUCAAUUCCAUAAAUCCACAAUUGCCUUGUACCUAUUUUCGGCAACCUUUAAAACGAAAAUAAAACUAUUUAUCGGAUUUUUGAAGUCACAGCGUGCUGUGACUUAUUUUCAAAAUAAUUUUUUAAAACAUUGUUCUUUUCCUAGAUUUGGGUAAAAUGUCUGUAUAUUUGGAAGAAAAAUAUGCAAUGUUAAUAAUUGUAAACAGUUUAUUGUUUUAAUAAACUUCUUUAAACAAUUA